rnacentral:rRNA from 1 species
UACAGAGGGGGCAAGCGUUGUUCGGAAUUACUGGGCGUAAAGGGCGCGUAGGCGGCCGCCUAAGUCAGACGUGAAAUCCCCCGGCUUAACCGGGGAACUGCGUCUGAUACUGGAUGGCUAGAGAUUGGGAGAGGGACGCGGAAUUCCAGGUGUAGCGGUGAAAUGCGUAGAUAUCUGGAGGAACACCGGUGGCGAAGGCGGCAUCCUGGACCAACACUGACGCUGAGGAGCGAAAGCCAGGGGAGCAAACAGG